GUGGGGAAUCUUCCGCAAUGGACGAAAGUCUGACGGAGCAACGCCGCGUGAGUGAUGAAGGUCUUCGGAUUGUAAAGCUCUGUUAAUCGGGACGAAAGAGCCUAGUGUGAAUAAUGCUAGGAAGUGACGGUACCGGAAUAGAAAGCCACGGCUAACUACGUGCCAGCAGCAGCGGUAAUACGUAGGUGGCAAGCGUUGUCCGGAAUUAUUGGGCGUAAAGCGCGCGCAGGCGGAUCUGCCCGUCGGUCUUAACAGUUCGGGGCUUAACCCCGUGAUGGGAUGGAAACUACAGAUCUAGAGUAGCGGAGAGGAAAGUGGAAUUCCUAGUGGAGCGGUGAAAUGCGUAGAGAUUUGGAAGAACACCAGUGGCGAAGGCGACUUUCUGGACGAAAACUGACGCUGAGGCGCGAAAGCCAGGGGAGCGAACGGGAUUAGAAACCCCGGUAGUCC
rnacentral:rRNA from 1 species